rnacentral:rRNA from 1 species
AUGAACGCUAGCUACAGGCUUAACACAUGCAAGUCGAGGGGCAGCAUGGUCUUAGCUUGCUAAGGCCGAUGGCGACCGGCGCACGGGUGAGUAACACGUAUCCAACCUGCCGUCUACUCUUGGACAGCCUUCUGAAAGGAAGAUUAAUACAAGAUGGCAUCAUGAGUCCGCAUGUUCACAUGAUUAAAGGUAUUCCGGUAGACGAUGGGGAUGCGUUCCAUUAGAUAGUAGGCGGGGUAACGGCCCACCUAGUCUUCGAUGGAUAGGGGUUCUGAGAGGAAGGUCCCCCACAUUGGAACUGAGACACGGUCCAAACUCCUACGGGAGGCAGCAGUGAGGAAUAUUGGUCAAUGGGCGAGAGCCUGAACCAGCCAAGUAGCGUGAAGGAUGACUGCCCUAUGGGUUGUAAACUUCUUUUAUAAAGGAAUAAAGUCGGGUAUGCAUACCCGUUUGCAUGUACUUUAUGAAUAAGGAUCGGCUAACUCCGUGCCAGCAGCCGCGGUAAUACGGAGGAUCCGAGCGUUAUCCGGAUUUAUUGGGUUUAAAGGGAGCGUAGAUGGAUGUUUAAGUCAGUUGUGAAAGUUUGCGGCUCAACCGUAAAAUUGCAGUUGAUACUGGAUAUCUUGAGUGCAGUUGAGGCAGGCGGAAUUCGUGGUGUAGCGGUGAAAUGCUUAGAUAUCACGAAGAACUCCGAUUGCGAAGGCAGCCUGCUAAGCUGCAACUGACAUUGAGGCUCGAAAGUGUGGGUAUCAAACAGGAUUAGAUACCCUGGUAGUCCACACGGUAAACGAUGAAUACUCGCUGUUUGCGAUAUACAGCAAGCGGCCAAGCGAAAGCGUUAAGUAUUCCACCUGGGGAGUACGCCGGCAACGGUGAAACUCAAAGGAAUUGACGGGGGCCCGCACAAGCGGAGGAACAUGUGGUUUAAUUCGAUGAUACGCGAGGAACCUUACCCGGGCUUAAAUUGCAGAUGAAUUACGGUGAAAGCCGUAAGCCGCAAGGCAUCUGUGAAGGUGCUGCAUGGUUGUCGUCAGCUCGUGCCGUGAGGUGUCGGCUUAAGUGCCAUAACGAGCGCAACCCUUGUUGUCAGUUACUAACAGGUCAUGCUGAGGACUCUGACAAGACUGCCAUCGUAAGAUGUGAGGAAGGUGGGGAUGACGUCGAAUCAGCACGGCCCUUACGUCCGGGGCUACACACGUGUUACAAUGGGGGGUACAGAGGGCCGCUACCACGCGAGUGGAUGCCAAUCCCAAAAACCUCUCUCAGUUCGGACUGGAGUCUGCAACCCGACUCCACGAAGCUGGAUUCGCUAGUAAUCGCGCAUCAGCCACGGCGCGGUGAAUACGUUCCCGGGCCUUGUACACACCGCCCGUCAAGCCAUGGGAGCCGGGGGUACCUGAAGUGCGUAACCGCGAGGAGCGCCCUAGGGUAAAACUGGUGACUGGGGCU